UCGCUUCUCAGCCAGUCGACCGAUUUCCUCGCUCGCUGUCACACACCUUGGGCUGUAAAGCGGCCGAACGUGCGUCUUUCUCUAUGCGUGCGGACAGCGGAAACGGGUUCAACGCCACACGGAGGAGGAAAGCAUGCGCACGAACGGAGCACAAGAAACAGCCAAAGUCUCUUCAAUUGAGACAGUGAGUGCAUAACGGGGGAAGUACUCGCCGGUGUUCUGACAGGGUGCAUCCCUGCCUUUGAAGGAGACAGCAUGGGCAGAACAGUCUUUAAAAUGUUUGUCUCAAAAAUACGAUAAUAACGAGAGGGAUUUUGGACAAGGAAGGAUCUGAGCUUUGCUUUAUAGCCUAGGACUAAGAUAAGUUGGUAGAAUGGAAAAGCCCGUCCAGCCUCAGCUGCAGUCGACCACAUCCAAGAGCUCAGAGGGUCUGUCGGAUGAUCUUUCCAAACUUACGGAUGAAGAUCUUCUGAAAUGGAGCAAGGAGGAGCUGGUGCGCCGGCUGCGCAGAACAGAAGCGGAGAAGAUGAGCGUCAUAGUGGACCACAGCAAUCUCAUCCGAGAGGUGAACCGCAGGCUUCAGCAGCACCUGAACGAGAUCCGGGGGCUGAAGGAGGUAAAUCAGAAGCUGCAGGAGGACAACCAGGAGCUGAGGGAUCUCUGCUGCUUUCUGGAUGACGAUCGUCAGAAAGGGAAAAAGGUGUCCAGGGAGUGGCAGCGCCUGGGGCGGUACAGCGCAGGGAUCAUGCGUAAGGAAGUCACAUUGUACCUGCAGAAGCUGAAAGAGCUGGAACAGCGUCAGGAGGAGGUGGUGAGAGAGAACCUGGAACUGAGAGAGUUGUGCCUAAUGCUGGAUGAGGAGAAGGGCUCUGGAGGUGCGGCCGGAUCAGUGGGCACCGGGGCUCCACCCGGCUGCAGGAAUUCAAUCGAUAGCCAGAGCAGCCUAUCUCAUGCCAGCGGUCCUGGGCCUGGGCUCCUGAGAGAUGUGGGUGAUGGGAGCAGUACCUCCAGCGCGGGCAGCACCGACAGCCCUGACCAUCUCACGCAUAAGCAGCAGCUGUUGGGCGGCCCCGCUGGAGGCAGUCCUGACCACCUUCAUAAGCCAGGCUCGGGGGAGGAGGCACCGCGUUCUGAGCACCCAGGGCGCAGACACAGCACUAGCCAGGAGUACACGGCUCAUACCUUUCCCCAGGUGUGCCGGUCUCGGUGUGGGUCCUUCUCCAGUCCAGACCACAAAGGCCUACGAGGGCUCAGUCCCGAGAAACAUGGCAAGAGCUUGCCCAGAUGCGUUCCAGAGCCGUUUUCGAAACAUCUGCUGGUGUCUUCUCAGCCACCCGGCAGUCCUGACCUUUUCCAGAAGCACAGGGGCAGUAUGGGAAGUGCGUGUAUGAGUCCGGAGCCCAAUCAGAUUUUAUCAGGGACACCAGAACACCUCCAGAAGGGCCGCAUCAUAUCUGGGAGCCCCGAGAUGUUGAGGCAUCAUUAUGGCGCCGGCCACGAGCACAGCAAGUUUGGCAGCCCUGCCCGUGAGAUGGCACAGAAGAGGCCGGGUGGAGAGGAGAUGUCCCCUCAUCAACGGAACAUCUAUAGCGGUAUGAACGGUGGUUCCGACUGGAGCCUGCUGUAGCACCCACAGUGACAUACACAGAGUUAAAUGAGCCAAAUGCAGAGGGGAUGGUCAUCCUUCAUCACGGAGGGGAUCAUUGCCAGCAAAGCCCAAUUCCCUGCCAGUCUCUAAACCAUCCAUUCAGCCAUGAUAUGCGUUUAGUUUAGUUUUUCGUUGCUCAGUUCAGGAGAGGCAAUGAGGGGAUAGAGCAGGGACUUUAGUGUCUGCUAGAGCAGAAUGCCAAGUCAUCUCUGGCAAAAGUCGGUGGUGUCCAGUCUUGGUACUCUUGGGUCAAUCAGCCUCUGUACCGGUGCCUCCUAAGCCAUUUUUAUGCUCUGGAACCCAGCUGAGGGAACUCAAUCAAAGACCAAAAUGCUCAGAGGCCCAACUAAUACAAGAAGACAGUGCUGCCCAGCAGGACCAGGAGUGGACACCAUUGUAUUUGCCAUAUGCACCCAGCUCUGAUAUCAGCUGGCUGUUGUACCAGCGCAUGCAGAAGUGUCAAACUUUGGGACAGUUUUAAUGCCUCCUGACCAUUGCCUUGAUUGAAUUCGUUGAUGGGAACCAGGCCAUGGAAGAUGGCCGCUGUGCUUUUGUAUCACUUGGACUGAAAAAAAGUUGGAAGAUGAAGACCGAAUCAAAGACAAAAUGUUUCAACAGCCAGCGUUUUCCGCCCCCACCAUGCCGGUUCCUGGUCUACCGAUCCAACUUACAGCCCUGCACAACAAAAGCCUGAAGGAGAGAUUUCUUAGGAGUCAAAGCGCUGGAAAUAACUGGAUUGCCAAAAGAAAUAUAUGUAACGAUUGCUCUUUUGCCAACAAAAUAGACCUACCUCCUUCAAACUAAAAGAGACCAAUCAGGACUGAGAGGCUAGUACCCAUUUUGUUUACAGUUGCCACAAAAACACAUGCAAACAAUCGAAAGAAACCUUUGCACACACAGGCAGACAAUUCUUAUCAGACUGGUCUCAUAAGACCGUAGGCUUUGUUCAGACAGGCAGCAAAAAUCUGUGACUCAAAUUCAUGUAGAUUUUUGUAGUUCAGCAAAAAGCACAGAUUAAUCUCACAUGUGAUUUGUUUUCUGACUGAAAUAUAAACUUUUUGGAUGAGUCUCAUUUUGAAUAGCUGCUCUUGUUGUAUGAGGAAGUCUCUUGAGAUUGUGCUGAUGCUUAAUUCGUUACCAUAGCAACCAUUGUAGAACGUCAGAUUUAAACCCAAAUGGGAUGCGGUGUGAACAAAGCCUAAUAACAAGGACAGUUUUUAUUAAGCUAUUUUGACUUAUCUCUUCAAAUGGAUAUCAUUAAAUUGAUAUCAGUCACUGCCUGAGUUUCAAUACGAAUUGUGUGAUGACCUUUUAUGUACUGCGUUGACUUAUGGCCAUGUGUAAAGUAUGGUAAUUUGACGUCAAGAUGUCUAUACUUAAAAUCUGCAUCCUGAUCUCUGGAUCCGGAGAGGCUCCCCUCCUGUCUCUGAAUGUCCUAUAAAUAAUCUUUCUGUAGACGCAGUGUUUGUGUUGUGUGAAAGAAGCACAUAGAAAUCUGCUGCUGCGUCCAGGACUUGUGUAGCCAGACGCUGUAGGCUUCCGUCGAGUCUUGCGUCUGUUUCUGCCCACACUGCUGCCCAAAUCAAGCGGCCCCAUCACAAAGCUUAAUGUAAGCUGCGCAAAUCCUGUCCGUUUCAAUGCUUUGUGAAAUUGCCAAACCCAUUUUUCUGUUCUCCAUUAAAACAAGAUUUUGUUCUCCAUCUGUUUGUGGAUUCAAUUUGAACGGUGGCCCAGUGGCUCUGUUCAGUGGAGACAGCAAGGCUCCUCACUGCACAUCCUCUGUUUGUGAACCAUAACUGAGAGGCAAUAUUGGACUUUUGUUCCAUAGGACUAUUUGUGCCGUCAUGCCUCUCUUCUUAGCAGGUAUUUCAUCAAACCUCUCCUGGGUGACUGCAAACCAUACACACUGUAGAGGUUUUGAGAGCAUAGCCUAUAUCCCUCACUCAACAUGACGUUGUUUUGGUCAGCCAACAUCACACUCAUCAAAACUGUUGUACACCGUCAGUAUUAAAUACAGCAAAGCUACUUGAUAAACUCAUUAACCUGUGAUCUUUUUUAUUUUUGUUGACAGAUUAUGAAACAGAACAGAUAUUAUUUAUUAUGAGACAUUUAUGUUUUUAAAAAGUAAAGAGUAGUUAAAGGCUUAGUUUUUUAUA